AGUGGAAUCAUUUAUUAUUAAAUUGUCUCGUAUUUACUUUUUGCGAUGAAGUUUUUAAAAAAUAUCGACCCGAAUAUUUCUUGUAAAAGAAGUUGGCAACCCUAAGUACACGCCCUUAAAAAAUAGACCAUCAAAAUGACAGUGUUGUCAGUGUAUAUAAUAAAAAUCGAUAAGAAAUAAUAACCGAUGGCUCGAGGAAAUUAAUAUUUGAAAUAAUGGAUUUAUACCAAAUUAUAGCUUCGUAAUGUAUCGUUGUUUAUCGUGAAUUCAACUUCUUAAAUUCGACAUUUAAAUAAGUUUGAAUAUAACGACGAAGAAGUCUUUUCUACAUUUUAAAUUAACAGUGAAAAUAAUAGAAUCAUCAUCCUUGGAUAUUAUUUAUGUUAUUGACGUGACGUUCAUAGUGUCGAUUUAUUAUUAUGCAGGCUAUUCGUACAUAACACUCCUUAUAUUGUUAUGACACUUAUUAAAAUUUUAAACACACUUGAUAACAAAUUUUAUUAUAAUCAAGAGUUUCUACAUCUUAUAAUCCAAAUAUAUUAUUACUUUCCUUCGGAAUAUUGAAUAUAGAGAUGGGAAUUUAGUGUUAUACAAACAACUCAUUCUGCACUUCCAGGAUCCAUUGGUUGUUGUAACUUAUUCUUUCCAUGAUGCCAUUUUCAUGUUUUGUAAUGCCAAACAACUGGAGGAACACUGAGGGGAUCAGAACUUUUUAUUCUCAAAAUAAGAUUCAGAUUAAAAAGUUAUUGUAAUCGUAAUCCAAUUUUCGUACUUACAUGCUUAUUGCCGUACUAUAAAUACCCAACAAUCUGAACACAACAUUCAUAAAGUUUUUCCAAGAUAACAUGGAAGUUGACGAAUAAAAAUAAAACACUAUUAACUAAAAUCCACUUGACCACCCGUCCCCAGUUACAUGACAAUGGCAACUGUGACUGCCCAAUAAUACAAAUUAAUUAUCUACUUUACAACAAAAUGUAAUUGAUGUCACUUGUAGUGCUAGGAAGUAAUCGAAUAUAUUAAUGAUAGUCUAGAUGAUUAUAAUUGUUUUUUAAACGUCACCGUUGUUUUUUAUUUUUUUUCUCAUACUAAACUUUGGAGUUGUAGCCGAAUAAAAAUAGAAGCGGCGCGUUCCGACGCAAACUCAAUUAAAUUUUUUGUAUUAAUGAUAAUUUUAGACUUGCGGUGACGUUAACUGAAUAAUAAAAAAAAUCGACGACACGCGUAAAAUAUUCAGGAAAUAAAAUAACUUGUUUAGUUAUGUAAUAUCGAUUCCUAGUAUACCGGGCGACCUAAACAUAUUCGAGUAUCCCUUACAAGAAGAAGUUCGAUCGUUUAAACUUAUAAUCGAUUUUUAUUAAUGAAUUAUAUUGAAUAUCAGUUUGAAUGCUUAUUUAUACCGAAAACAAAAUAUUUGAGGUUAUAAUUCAAAGUAAAGUUUGUGAGUAGUUAACAUCGAAUCGGACGUUUUUCAACGUAUCUUCUGGUGUAGAUUUCUAGUUGAAAUAUUGAAGAAUGAGCGAAAAAUAAAACCAAAAAUUAAUGAUUAUAUAUAAAAUUCAAUAUCAAUAAACUUUUUUUGUAUUUGUAUUAAAGAUUUUUAGUGGGUUCGGUUUUUAAAGUUAGUUAAAGAAGAAGACUUAUCCUUGACAUCGAUCCCAAGUUUCACUUCGUAAUUUUAUUAUUAUGCAAUGCGACUGAUUUAAUUCAUAUUUAACGAUUCCCGAUACAAAAUUUAUUAAAACAAAAUUCGUUCGUACUUAUUGAGAUGAAAUCAAAAAUGUUUAUAUUUAUUGGACGUUUUUUGAUUGAUUAUUUGGAAUUUUGUCCGUCGACUUCGGUAUCUACAAACUUAUCUUUGUAAAACGCCAAAAUUUAAUGAUAAAAGUACAAAGUUUCGAAAAAAACUUUAUCUAUAGACACUCGAUGUAACAAUCAAUCAAAUAUGUAACAAAUUUUGAAAAAACUACUCCAAAUUUGUAUAAAUUUUAUCAAUAAUUAGAGAUUCACUCGAUAUAUCGAAUAUUUUAUUUUAUUUUCCGUUAUAAUCUUUUUUAUUUUUUACUGUUAACAACGAAUUUAAAAUCAAGAUACAUCAAGAUGGUAACGAAUUAUUUGAUGACGUCAAAACUAAAAAACUUGAUAAAUUUCAAUAUUAGUCACAAUUAUAUUGAACUUUGAAUAUAUUUUUCUAAUUAGGAGUGACGCGCGGGGAA